CAAUCUCGCAGAUGUGAUCUCGGGGGUCUCCAGACUUUACAAUCGUCCUGACUUUCACCUUGGAACGAAGGAAGAAAGCAGCGUCUUCCCACUUUCCAGGACUUCCACCGCGGCCUCCUCCUCUUGCAUUUUGAUCGCAUCGAUCAUCUCCUGGGUCGUGAUCCCUGUCCAAAGCAAGCUUAUCCAUCAAAGAGCAAACAGGAAAGUUUUUCUCAUCUUCUAGCAAUCAACUUACCGAGAUUACAGUUC